AGUGGCGGACGGGUGAGUAAUGUAUGAGCAACCUGCCUUUCAGAGGGGGACAACAGUUGGAAACGACUGCUAAUACCGCAUAAUGUACAUUGAAGGCAUCUUUGAUGUACCAAAGGAGCAAUCCGCUGAAAGAUGGGCUCAUAUCUGAUUAGUUAGUUGGCAGGGUAACGGCCUACCAAGACUGCGAUCAGUAGCCGGACUGAGAGGUUGAACGGCCACAUUGGGACUGAGAUACGGCCCAGACUCCUACGGGAGGCAGCAGUGGGGAAUAUUGGGCAAUGGGCGAAAGCCUGACCCAGCAACGCCGCGUGAAGGAAGAAGGUCUUCGGAUUGUAAACUUCUUUUAUGAGGGACGAAGGACGUGACGGUACCUCAUGAAUAAGCCACGGCUAACUACGUGCCAGCCGCCGC
rnacentral:rRNA from 1 species